GAAAACUUAGAAACUACCGUUGGAUCGAGAAAUGGACGUCCGAGAUUUGUCCACGUCACCAAUCUCGGACGUCCAUUUCUCGAUCCAACGGUAGUUUCCAAGUUUUC
rnacentral:pre_miRNA from 1 species